AUGGCCACCGUGGCGGCGACCAUGGCGACGCCGACGCGCCACCGCCAGUUCCGCGUGCGCGCCGCCUGGGACAUGAACCCGGGCGCCGCCACCGUCGCCGUGCCCAAGCCGUCAAAGGACAAACCCAAGCCAGCCCUGGGGCAGUCGCCGGCGGCGGCGACCACCCCCGCACGCGCACCCCCUCCCACACACGCCGACCUCUUCGCGCGCAGCAGCGAGGACCAAGCAAAGAAGAGCACGUACAUGGGGUUUGAGAAGUGGUGGUUGCCGCCUGCGCCAGAGGUGAAGAAACCCCGUUCACUCUACAACGCGGCAUCGCUGGCAUACUUGGGGGACUGCAUAUAUGAACUCUAUGCUCGGAGACACUUCUUCUUUCCUCCACUGAGCAUCAAUGAAUACAAUAAGCGUGUGAUGGAUGUUGUGAAAUGUGAAUCACAGGAUCUGCUGCUGAACAAACUCCUGGGAGAGGAUUUUCUAACUGAAGAAGAAAGGGACAUACUUCGUUGGGGAAGGAACAUCGUUAGCAGCAAAACUCGUACAAGAAAACGGGCAGGAAUCGCAGUGUACAAUCGAGCAUCUUCACUUGAAACACUGAUCGGAUAUCUUUACCUCACGAAUUUCAAGCGCUUGGAGCAAAUGAUGUUCCAGUUAGGAUUCACAAGUGGUGCUUCGUCACAGAAUAUUGCAGAUGAGCUGCUCUCAAGCUUCCAGAAAACAACCUCAACUUCUGUACAAUCUCAGCAACCUGCAAAGCGAUGA
rnacentral:rRNA from 1 species